rnacentral:rRNA from 1 species
GACGAACGCUGGCGGCGUGCUUAACACAUGCAAGUCGAACGAAGUGGCGAACGGGUGAGUAACGCGUAAUCAACCUGCCCUUCAGCGGGGGACAACAGUUGGAAACGACUGCUAAUACCGCAUACUGAAGGAGGGGAUUGCGUCUGAUUAGCUAGUUGGAGGGGUAACGGCCCACCAAGGCGAUGAUCAGUAGCCGGUCUGGGAGGAGGGACGGCCACAUUGGGGCUGGAGCACGGGCCCGAAUCCUACGGGAAGCAGCAGGGGGGGAUCUUCCGGAAAGGGCGAAAGUCUUACGGGGCAACGCCGCGGGAGUGAUGACGGCCUUCGGGUUGUAAAGCUCUGUUAAUCGGGACGCGGUACCGGAAUAGAAAGCCACGGCUAACUACGUGCCAGCAGCCGCGGUAAUUC